AAAAAGGUAAUGAGAAAGAGGAGUACGCUCUGGGAACUUGCAGAGAGAACAAUUCGUCGGCUGAAAGAUUGUUUAAGGAAAAAGGGCGGAAGGUAGCUUUUGAACCGGAAUACUGAAGGAAAUCACCUGACAGCAGGUAAGAUUUGGUAGGUUUUCCCGGUUUGUCCCCGUUACAGGACCUUUGAGUGAUAAAAAAAGGUGGUACCGCGGCUUUGUCGCCCUUUGU
rnacentral:ncRNA from 1 species